rnacentral:lncRNA from 1 species
UAGCUUCCCCGCCACUCCUCUAAAAUCCCUCCUCAAAAACCCCAAGUUAAAAAGAAAAAAAGAUCUAUUCUUGUAGAUUUUUUUGUGUGGGUCUAUGUUUCAUUCAUCUGCUUUCAGGCUGGAUUUAUAACAAGCAGAUCUUUUAAAACGCUUCAGGAAAAAGAGGACCUUAGAACUGAAGGAGCAAGAUUCCAACAUCACACUGUUUUUGUUAGCUGUGUGUGUGUGUUUCCUGUGUAUCCAAAAGACAGAGGAGAUGAAAAAGCAAAAGAAAAGAAACGAGGAAUCAGAUUGGAAAGAAGGUUUCUCCAGGACGUCACCUGUAUGAGGUACACAGUGUGAUGACACACUCUGUGCUUUUCCUACUUGUGUCCACGUGAGUGUCUGGAGCUGCCCUUCAAGGAAGGCAAUAGAUGAAUGAUUCUGCCUUCCUGUUGAGAGGGAUGUGGGUCCUGCGGAUGGUCGGGGUGAAGCUUCCUCUCCUUUCUGCUGAUGGCACUUCCUCAUUAAAUGCAGAGAUCUGCAAAAAGGGAAAAUAAAAACACAAGAAGAAA